rnacentral:rRNA from 1 species
UACGUAGGGGGCAAGCGUUAUCCGGAUUUACUGGGUGUAAAGGGAGCGUAGACGGCCAUUCAAGCCAGAUGUGAAAGCCCGGGGCUCAACCCCGGGACUGCAUUUGGAACUGUAUGGCUGGAGUGUCGGAUAGGCAGGCGGAAUUCCUAGUGUAGCGGUGAAAUGCGUAGAUAUUAGGAGGAACACCAGUGGCGAAGGCGGCCUGCUGGACGAUGACUGACGUUGAGGCUCGAAAGCGUGGGGAGCAAACAGG